rnacentral:lncRNA from 1 species
AUGGAGAUGGAGGAGCCCCCGCUGCCCCCCUGCCCUUGGGGGGGGGACCUGGGGGCGGCCCCGUCCCCGGGCAGAGCCCCGGAGCCCAGCCCCGGGCCCUGCAGCUCCUGGGGGGCCGGGGUCAGCCCGGGCAGCGCUCACCCCAUCUCCCGUCCCGGCGAAGCCGUCCCCGCUGCUGCCUCCAUCCGCAGAGAAGCUGCCGGGGCCAGAGCGGGUGAGCGGCCGGGAGGCCCCCCGCUCAGCCCCCCGCCGGGGGUGCCAGCCCUUGGGGUGCCCAGUGCCGGCGGGGGGGCCACUCACCGCUCCGCUCCUCGCGCCGGGCUCUCGCCGGCCUCUGCUUCCUCAGCCUCCGCCAGUUCCUCUGCAGGAGCCCCAGGUAGAUGGGUGAGGGGGGGGGCAGCCCCCGCACCCCCUGCCCCACAGCUCUGUCACCUACCUGCAGCCGCCGGACCCGCAGCACCGCGGACACCAGGCUCAGCCGCAGCAGCAGCAGCAGCAGCGGGAGCAGCUCGGACGGGGGGGGGAGGCCAGGGCCCCCCAUGGCACCGGCUCCGGCGAUGCCGCAGGUCCCCAGGUGGCGGGCACAGGCCUGUGACACAGAGCCCCGAAUUUCGUGAGCCACGAGAAGGGCUCAGCACCAACGCCAGCGGCUGGGAGAGGAGCCCCCAGCACGGGGACGACACCACCAGCACCCACAGCAUCCCCUGGGGCUUGACCCCCCCACCCCGUGAGCCCCCCCUCUGUGCCAGGGCCCUGCACACGGAUGGGGGACGCUGCCCACGGGUGCUGGGGUGCCACAGGAGGGGCGCAGCCUGCUCUGCCCAUGGCCCGUGCAAGGUGACCCCACUUCUGCAGGGCUGCCCCUCCCCGGCCAGCCUUACCAAGCACCCCGGACCCCCCCGCGAGCCGGAGCCCACCGAGAUGGUGCCAGACCGCGGUGCCCACUGCCCACUCCCACUCCUGCAGGGCCCCCUUUGGGGCACGGCGCGGUGCACACGCACCCCCCCUUUGUGA